AAUCAACGCUGGCGGCGUGCCUCAGACAUGCAAGUCGAACGCGAAAGUCCCCUUCGGGGGACAAGUAGAGUGGCGCACGGGUGAGUAACACGUAGGUAAUCUACCUUCGGGUGGGGAAUAACAACCGGAAACGGUUAGCUAAUACCGCAUAAUGCAGCGGCACCUAAUGGUGACAGUUGUUAAAGCGGGGGAUCGAAAGACCUCGCGUCUGAAGAGGAGCCUGCGGCGGAUUAGCUAGUUGAAGGUAAUGGCUUACCAAGGCGACGAUCCGUAGCCGGCCG
rnacentral:rRNA from 1 species